rnacentral:rRNA from 1 species
CAAUCGAACCCGGAGAUAGCUGGUUCUCCCCGAAAUAGCUUUAGGGCUAGCGUCGGAAAGAACCUUAGUGAAGGUAGAGCACUGAAUGUGUGAUGGCCCCAUCCCGGGGUACUGAAUACAAUCAAACUGCGAAUGUCAUUAAGGAUGUCCGGCAGUCAGACUGUGAGUGAUAAGGUCCAUGGUCAAGAGGGAAACAGCCCAGACCGCCAGUUAAGGUCCCAAAAUACAGGCUAAGUGGAAAAGGAUGUGGGGAUGCCCAGACAACUAGGAGGUUGGCUCAGAAGCAGCCAUCCUUUAAAGAGUGCGUAACAGCUCACUAGUCGAGUGACCCUGCGCCGAAAAUGUACCGGGGCUAAGCCUGAUACCGAAACUGCGGAUUGUAGGAAACUAUAGUGGUAGGGGAGCGUUGUAUACGAGCAGAAGCCGUACCGUGAGGAGCGGUGGAUUGUAUAGAAGUGAGAAUGCCGGUGUGAGUAGCGAGAUGUAGGUGAGAAUCCUACACACCGAAAGCCCAAGGAUUCCAGGGGAAGGUUCGUCCGCCCUGGGUAAGUCGGGACCUAACGCGAGGCCGAAAGGCGUAGUGGAUGGAAAGCAGGCGAAAGAUUCCUGCACCCGUAUAUGGAGCGAAGGAGUGACGGAGACGGAUAGUGUGACCCUCUUAAUGGAUUGAGGGCGAAGCGAAGCGGCUGGUUACCAGGCAAAUCCGGUAACCAAAAGGCUAGAGCGUGACAGGUAAGCGAAAUCUUCGGAAAGUAGCGAAGCACAUGAUGACGGCUUCCAGGAAAAGCUUCUGGCAAUGCAUAUGCGGCCCGUACCAAAACCGACACAGGUGGGCAGGGAGAGAAUCCCGAGGUGAGCGAGAGAACUGUUGCCAAGGAACUCGGCAAAAUGACUCCGUAAGUUAGCGAGAAGGAGUGCUUAAGCAAUUAAGCCGCAGUGAAGAGGCCCAAGCGACUGUUUAACUAAAACACAGCUCUCUGCGAAGUCGCAAGACGAAGUAUAGGGGGUGACACCUGCCCGGUGCUGGAAGGUUAAGAGGAUCUGUUAAGAGCGAUCUGAAGCAGUGAUCCGAAGCCCCAGUGAACGGCGGCCGUAACUAUAACGGUCCUAAGGUAGCGAAAUUCCUUGUCAGGUAAGUUCUGACCCGCACGAAAGGUGUAACGAUUUGGGCGCUGUCUCGGCAGCAGACUCGGUGAAAUCUUAGUACCUGUGAAAAUGCAGGUUACCCGCAACUAGACGGAAAGACCCCAUGGAGCUUUACUGCAGCCUGAUAUUGAAUUCUGGUCAUACAUGUACAGGAUAGGUGGGAGACAAAGAGACGUGCACGCCAGUGUACGAGGAGUCGACGUUGGGAUACCACUCUUGUGUGACCGGGGUUCUAACCUGGUAUCGAGAACAGGUACGGGGAGAGUGUCAGGUGGGCAGUUUGACUGGGGCGGUCGCCUCCCAAAGAGUAACGGAGGCGCCCAAAGGUUCCCUCAGCGCGGCCGGAAAUCGCGCGAAGAGUGUAAAGGCAGAAGGGAGCUUGACUGAGAGCCAAACACGGCGAUCAGGUACGAAAGUAGGGCUUAGUGAUCCGGUGGCAUCCAAGUGGAAGGGCCAUCGCUCAACGGAUAAAAGCUACCCUGGGGAUAACAGGCUAAUCUCUCCCAAGAGUCCAUAUCGACGGGGAGGUUUGGCACCUCGAUGUCGGCUCAUCACAUCCUGGGGCUGAAGUCGGUCCCAAGGGUUGGGCUGUUCGCCCAUUAAAGUGGUACGUGAGCUGGGUUCAGAACGUCGUGAGACAGUUCGGUCCCUAUCCAUCGCGGGCGCAAGAGAUUUGAAGGGGGCUGCUCCUAGUACGAGAGGACCGGAGUGGACGAACCAAUGGUGUACCAAUUAUCUCGCCAGAGGUAUAGUUGGGUAGCUACGUUCGGAAAGGAUAAACGCUGAAAGCAUCUAAGCGUGAAACCAGCCUUAAGAUGAGAUCUCUCAUAGAGUAAUCUAGUAAGACACCUUGGAGAAGACGAGGUUGAUAGGUCGGGAGUGUAAGUACAGUAAUGUAUUCAGCGGACCGAUACUAAUAUGUCGAGGGCUUGACUUA